AUCCGCUGUGGCAACCCCUAACGGGAGCAGCCGGACAAAGAAGAAGACACGCUAAGAAAGGGCGUGUAAUAUCUUUAGCUUUUUGUGUUCAUAGGAAUUUGUUAUGAACGCUUUGAAAUCACUUCAGUUUAUUUUGUCUGACGCCUCCUAACUAACCUGUAUGAGAAACCUCCCACAUAUGAUAUACCGUUCCAACAAUCUCGAUAUCUAGUUGUGCAAGUAAUUAAGCUUUUUGGGGUUCAUCCCCUAUUUUUUGCUGUCUAGACCCGAAAACCCCAACUUUUUAUGCCAUAAUUGGACCAUAUUUUUGUGCAAGAUGUUACUGUACACCCUACUUGAUAAAAAGUAAAACAAAAAUGUUUGGCAACAAGUACCAGAAGAACUUGAAGUUGUGAAUGCCACAUCAAUGACCCGAAAGUCUGCCUACAGUAUUACCAUAUCUGGCUGUUCCUGAGCAAGUCUGUCCUGUGGUGGCCUUGCAGCCUGAGCUAGAAGGUUUGUUUUCAACCAACCACCAUAUCUCUGAAAAUGAUGUCUCUUUUGCCCUGCUUGAAACAGAAAACCAUCCAUCUCUGGUUUACGAAUGACAAGACACCAAAUCUAGAGGAAGGAGCCAUUGGCCAAAACUCUGGAUGUCACAAACUAUAAAAUGAAAAAGAAGUAAAAAGACCAGUUAGAGAAAAUUCUGCUGGCCCAGAUGACUGCAUUUCUGGUUCUGGCCCCAAUGACAUCCCUACCAGCUCUGAUCCUGAUGACAUCACUUCAUCUGCCUGUCUUUAAAACUGCCAUUUUGUUUCUCAUGAAUCAGUUCUGUUA